GAAUCGAGUGAGAAUGAAGUGAAUGGAUGAUUUAUUGAAAGGGACUGCUGGGUAUUUAUAGGUCCCCAAGAGUCGUUUACAUGUCGGUUACAAAGCCUCACGGCUGUUCCGAAUAGACGUGGUGUCGUUUCGAUAUCAUUGCGCGAUCUCCAGGUCAUCCAACUAGUCAGGAGAAUGAUAGAUUUGAUUCCUUUCUGAAGGGAGGGUUCUACAUUGGAAGAUGUGGCACCGGACCAAGUGUUGAAGGCUUCAUCAGUCGUUGGCAUACAGAUGAGGAUGUUGAGCUAGGCAAACACAUCAUGCUAGAUCUGCUGGGAGAAAGAGCAAUGUGUUAAUAGGUGCGAGAUGGAUUUAGAUUCUUGGUCAAAGAGAAAAGAAGUGUCAUCAUUGUUCAGUCCAUGACGCAUCUUUCAUUAGUCCAGUAAAGAUCCUAAGUUGCUAACCUAGCAAACACCUUGCACUUCAAGGGGGCCCAACAUUCCCAGAUGGAGCUGUUGUGAGGAGAUAUUGUUGGUCUUUCAAACAGCGCAUUAUAAGCAGAUUUAGCAGAGUAAGUACCUGAAGAUCAGAAGUUCCAGGUGAGUUCAUCGCCAGUGUGGGGAUUGAUACACAAUUAUACCGAUUAUCGAUAGAUUUAAGUAGAACCUGAUGUACACAGAAAAACCGCAAACUGUGUUGGGGCGCUCAUAGUGAGCUUGGUAUUGAGAUGUUUGUCAUGUGGUUGCGUUGAGAUGUUUUUUUUCUCACAAGUCCUUACUGAUGUAAUGAUGUAGGAAUUAUAGAUCGGUCUCUGCAGUGUAUCUAUAAUGACACUUGAGGUGUCCAUAUAGCUGUAGAAGGCUUAUGUUUUUUUUUACCUGUACCUAGCACAAGCAUUACAAUUGUGUUGUGUACCAUCCACUUACCUUUUAUGCUUACUGAGAAACCUCCAUUAGUAUUAACUCUUCUAGUUACUUUGACCAUUGAUAUAUGUUACAUAUGUGCCCAAAAUUUGCUGCGAAACCGAGUUUUUACUUUGAAACAAUGUGUUUUAAUGGGAUGUCCGAUACUUUCAGACUAUUCUUGCCACUAAAAUGUUGAUGUUAAUGGCGUCUUUCGUCUGUACUCCGAUGGAUGCAGAGUUUUAUCUCUAUCACAUGUCUCUCAUGUAGCUUGUACCCGUGGGUGUAGAAAUAAGCAUGCAGAAUUAGGUUCUCCGAGGUGUUGGUAUUUCUCGUAUUUACACAAUUCUUUUAGUGGUAGCAUCUGCUAUAUGUAGACGCAGUUUCCCACUGUGUUGUACUUGUUCUAGUGUUACUUGGUAUGAAUGUGGCUUAGUAAAAUCAUAUUGGAUUACUGAUUGGAUUACUGUGUGGUCAAAUGGGAUGUAACACUACUGAUGUAGUAUUUUUUCACUCUAGUAGCCAAUUUAAUCGAUUAGAUGAGUUAGUGAGUGAUUAGAGUAUAAUGGAAGCAUGUAAUUUUCAUAAGAAACGUUGGCUUGUUACAAGUAUGCCUGUUCUCUUCUCAUGGCAUUUUUUUUUUCUUGAAAGGAGGUCAUGCAGAUUGCAUUGGGGUUACUCAGCUGCUGAUGAAGCAAAAAUAGGCAUGCAUAAACUUUCCAAGGUGAUUUAUCUAGUAUUGUAAUUGUUUAGUAAAUAUUGAAAAGUAUAAUCCAUACCAUUAUUGUCAGGAUUUGCACUUCUGCUGAUGGUAACUUCUCUGCAUCUAGUACCUUCAGGGUAGCCCCGUAUUGUUAUUUUCGAAUCUCCUAAGGGAUGAUGUUGAGAGGUAGUCUCCUUGUGUGAUAGUUCCUGUAUGCACGCAUAAAUUUUAAAUGCUUCUUAUUUACUUGUUGCCUCUCUAAUUACUUUACGAAAUUAUGAUCAUAUAUCCUAUGUAGAAAUUAUUUCGAGAAUUUGAGGGGCUUGAUUUGGCAAAGAUGGUAAGUGUUGCCACUGAAACGGUAUUGCUUAUGAUAUCAUACCUAUGUUUAUUCCAUUUAUUUUCAGAAAAUUUUAACAAGAUACAUUGAACCAAACCUAUAUUAUGUUUACCAUACAAUGUUCACUUUUUUAUGAUUCUGGGCAUCUAAUUUGUAAUAAUAGUCGUAUGAUUGUAAAGAAAGGUCAACAUCUUUCCUUCAAUUAGUUGUGUUAUCACAUCCAUAUUCACUCUAGCAGCACUCAGUUGAGAAUUACUGUUUAUAAUAGCUGCUUAGCCCACAUAGGAUACAACAAUGAACGAUAAUUUGAAUUGUGUUAUUGUUCAGAAUAAAUAGCACUUUUAGUUUCUUGUAUGAUGUGGUUAACUGAAUUUACAGAUUUAUGAUGUUCCUGCUGAAGCUACUGGAACGUCCUCUGGAAUAUUUUAUACAUGAACACUAACCCUUCAUAAGCAAACAAGGACUGCCAGUUCACCUAAACCAAGGGAGAAGUGGAUGCAGCGCACCCUGGUGCAACAGUGGGAGGAAGAGAGAAGUGUAGCCUAAGGAGGCCUGGUGGGUUUUCGAAGAUGAGAUAAAGUAUCUGUUGGAUGAGUGGAACUCCAUCAUGGAUAAAAAAAUGAGUCCUACUUACAGAAAAGGUGAUGAUGAGGAAUCUUUUGUUAAGAAGAGAGCAUGAAAGAGAAAAAGAAGCCAAACUGGCCUAGGAAAGUUUGGAUUUUUCUGGCCAGAAUUGUGUUGUAUAUGGAAGAUGUUAGUUGGGCCAGCCUUCUCUAUCACAGAUCGAGAUGGAGGUAGCCAGGAGGAAGGGAGCCAUCGCCAUGGGACCCGGCUGGCUGGACAUGUUUCUCUGACUGAUAUUGUCGUGGGUUUGGUACUAGUGAGCUUAUGGUCAAAAGACUGAAGGAAGUCUAGCUCAUGGGUUCUAGUUGAAGUGCCUGACCUGGGAGCAGCUAGCAUUAUAUUAGGUCUUCACCUUGGACCUCUCUAGCUAGACUAGAUAUCAAUCUGCACAGAAUGAACUUGCUAGCAAAAGUGUAUGUUUUGAUUACCCAUUUUGGCGGGGAUUUGCAGUGCUAUCGAUCAGGUUUAACUUUCAUGUACUGUGGUCACUCAACCGUGUAUCUAUGUUUUGCACUAAAAGAUGCGAGUAAAGUUUGAAAUCUUUGGCGA